CCUACGGGAGGCAGCAGUGAGGAAUAUUGGUCAAUGGUCGGGAGACUGAACCAGCCAAGCCGCGUGAGGGAGGAAGGUACAGAGUAUCGUAAACCUCUUUUGUCAGGGAACAAAGACUGGGACGCGUCCCCGGAUGAGUGUACCUGAAGAAAAAGCAUCGGCUAACUCCGUGCCAGCAGCCGCGGUAAUACGGAGGAUGCGAGCGUUAUCCGGUUUUAUUGGGUUUAAAGGGUGCGCAGGCGGUCUGUUAAGUCAGCGGGCAAAGCCCGGGGCUCAACCCCGGCCCGCCGUUGAAACUGGCAGUCUCGAGUUGGAGAGAAGUAUGCGGAAUGCGCGGUGUAGCGGUGAAAUGCAUAGAUAUCGCGCAGAACUCCGAUUGCGAAGGCAGCAUGCCGGCUCCACACUGACGCUGAGGCACGAAAGCGUGGGUAUCGAACAGGAUUAGAUACCCUUGUAGUC
rnacentral:rRNA from 1 species